CCGAGUGCGGGCCCUCGCGGCCCAACCUCCCACCCUUGUCUCUCUACACCUGUUGCUUUGGCGGGCCCACCGGGGCCACCCGGUCGCCGGGGGACGCUCGUCCCCGGGCCCGCGCCCGCCGAAGCGCCCUGUGAACCCUGAUGAAGAUGGGCUGUCUGAGUGUCAUGAAAAUUGUCUA
rnacentral:misc_RNA from 1 species